AUCCGUCUCAAAGGAUCCGAAAUUGUAUGAUGCACAUCAUCAAACUCGGUAUACUCUUUUAAUUAAAGUCAAUUAAUUUAACAGCCCCCGCGGUGCCGACAAUUUGGGGUUUUCCAUCUGGGAAUCCUUAUCUGUUAAAUAAGCAAACAAUUUAGUAUAAAUAACAAUGUACAAGCAUAUAAGAAAGUUCUGAUAAGCAUGUCAUGGAUGAUAAUUCGAGCAAUAAGUCUGAUGAGCAUCUGGAAGAGGAUGAAGGGUCGGACCUGGAUGAGAAGGAGCCCAAGCUCAAGUACAUGCGGAUGGGCAAUGGCGUUGAAAACAUCCUGAAAGCAGACUCGGCCUCCUGCGUAGCCAUACAUCCGAAGUUUGUAUGCAUUGGGACUGACUGGGGUUUAAUUUAUUUUCUGGACCAUCAGGGAAAUGUAGUUUUGGACAAAGAACUCCGAGCGCACACUUUAGCUGUCAACCAAAUCAGUAUCGAUGCAAACGGCGAUUAUAUUGCCAGCUGUGCUGAUGACGGGAAAGUUUAUGUCUUCGGUGUUUAUGAUAGUGAUAAUAAUCAGGAAAUUCGUUUAGAAAGACUCGUUCGAUCUGUUGCGAUAGAUCCUUUAUAUGCAAAAGGAGGGUCUUACAGGCGGGUCAUUACAGGAGAUGAGAAACUAGUGCUUCAUGAAAAGGGAUUUUUUUCCCGGAUUAGAUCAACCGUAUUAGGCGACGCUUCUAUCGAAGGCGGUGUUAAAAAUAUAAAAUGGAGCCCGGAUGGAAAGCUCUUGGCUUGGUCGACACAAGUUGGAUUCAGAGUUUAUGACGUCGAUGUUAAAACAUCUCUAGGACUUGUAAAAUGGGCUUCAAAACCCCAAAUAGAUUUAAAAUGCCCCAUGUGCUGGGAAGGAAAUAAUAAUCUAGUCGUUGCUUGGAAUAACACUAUUAAAAUAUGUGCCAUUAAACGAAAAACUACAGCAACACCUUCACAUAUUUCUGCUUUUGUCGUUAUGCCUGUUUACACCAUCCAGAUGGAGUACAUAGUGAGUGGUGUCGGACCGUGGGGCAACAUGCUUGUGGUUCUCGGCUGUACCAAGGAGAUCAACAACUCUGGAUUGGACGGUGAUAGGCCACAGCUCCAAGUCAUCGAGCCGACAUCGAGCGGCUAUGAGGAUCUCAAUUCACAUUUUCUUUCACUCAGGGGCUUUGAAAAAUAUGCCGCUUCCGAUUACAGUUUAGAGUGCCUUCCAGAUGAAGGACAAUUUGUCAUUGUAAGCCCUCGUGAUAUAGUUGUAGCAUGCCCGUACGAUGCUGACGACCGUAUCGACUGGCUUAUCAAUCAUUCUAAGUUUGAAAUGGCUCAAAAAGCCGUCGCAGAUUCUAAAGUGCCUUUUGUCAGGCAUUCGAAAUAUUCAGUGGGUAGAGAGUACAUAGGGUAUCUUUUAAAAAAGCGUGAAUACAAAAAGGCUGCAGACCAGUGUAAAAAUAUUUUAGGUAAUGACAAAAUGAAGUGGGAAAAAGAACUGAGACGGUUUGCUGAACAUCAGGCCGCUCACGCGUUAGCGGAUUACGUACCAAUUUCUCUAGAAUGUCGCCUGCCAAAUCAUUGCUAUGAGCUCAUUCUUUACGAGUAUUUACGUUACGACAAAGAGGGUUUUUUAAAUAAAAUUAAAGCGUGGCCACCUGCGUUAUACGACCCGUCUACAAUGGGAGCAGUAGUGCUGAAAUGUAUCUUUGGGUCUGACUUGAAAAGCAAUCCUACCCUCCUUGAAGCUUUAGCCAUCAUUUAUUCCCACAUGGGAAAUCAUGAUAAGGCACUUUCUAUGUACAUCAAAUUGCAAAACAAUGGAGUAUUUAAUCUGAUUGAACAGCACAAAUUACACAGCAGUAUACACAAGUCGGCGAAAGAUCUCAUGAAAAUGGACGAAAACAAGGCGAUUCGAACAUUUCUACACAGUAAUGUCAAUCCAGAUGAUAUUGUAGAAGCGCUCAAAGACCACAAUUAUUACUGUUUUAAGUACUUAGAUGCCUUGAACAAGCACGACUCGAAAGCUUGUAUAAAAAAUCAUUCAAAACUGGUCAGACUGUAUGCGGACUUUGAGCCGGACAAGCUUUUGAAUUUUCUGAAAAUGAGUGACCAUUACGCUAUCCGAGAAGCGUUGGAUAUAUGCAAAAGUGGAAAAUUGAACGAAGAAAUGGUUUAUUUAUUGGGCCGGAUUGGAAAUACAAAAGAAGCGCUAGAACUUAUUCUUACCAGCAUAGGAGACAUAGAAAGAGCGAUAGAUUUUUGCAAGGAGCAUGACGAUGAAGAACUUUGGGAAGACCUGAUCAGCUUUUCAUUAGACAAGCCGAUGUGCAUAACGAAUCUUCUUCAGAACAUAGGCACAUAUGUCGAUCCGAACAUCCUGCUUCAAAAAAUAGACAACAAACUUCCUAUACCUUCCCUCAAGGAGUCGUUGGUAAAACUGAUGCAGGGGUACAAUCUUCAGGUUCAAGUUCAAGAAGGCUGUAAUGUAAUUUUAGCGAAUGACUCGUUCGCCUUGAGUGAGAAAGUACGGUCAAUUAGGCAAAGAGGAGUUUUGAUUGGUGAUGAUCAACAAUGUGGGUCUUGUCAUAAAAAAGUUAUUUUGAAAAGCACCAAGGUAAUGUGAAAGAAAGUCUUGUAAUAUUCCACUGCAACCACAUUUUUCAUCGAGAUUGCUUACCAGCAUUUAUGGACAAUUGCAAACUGUGCACAAAGACAA
rnacentral:misc_RNA from 1 species